rnacentral:rRNA from 1 species
UACGGGGGGAGCAAACGUUGUUCGGAAUCACUGGGCGUAAAGGGCGUGUAGGCGGCUGGAUAAGUGGGAUGUUAAAUCCCCCGGCUCAACCGGGGACCUGCAUCUCAUACUGUUCAGCUCGAGCACAUCAGAGGGUCGUGGAAUGCCCGGUGGAGCGGUGAAAUGCGUAGAGAUCGGGCGGAACACCAGCGGCGAAGGCGGCGACCUGGCCCUGACCUGACGCUGAGGCGCGAGAGCGUGGGGAGCGAACGGG